rnacentral:rRNA from 1 species
AUUGAACGCUGGCGGCAGGCCUAACACAUGCAAGUCGAACGAGUGGCGGACGGGUGAGUAAUGUCUGGGAAACUGCCUGAUGGAGGGGGAUAACUACUGGAAACGGUAGCUAAUACCGCAAACCAUCGGAUGUGCCCAGAUGGGAUUGGCUAGUAGGUGGGGGAACGGCUCACCUAGGCGACGAUCCCUAGCUGGUCUGAGAGGAUGACCGGACACACUGGAACUGAGACACGGUCCAGACUCCUACGGGAGGCAGCAGUGGGGAAUAUUGUACAAUGGGCGAAAGCCGGAUGCAGCAAUGCCGCGUGAAUGAAGAAGGCCUUCGGGUUGUAAAGUACUUUCAGCGGGGAGGCGUUACCCGCAGAAGAAGCAACGGCUAACUACGUGCCAGCAGCCGCGGUAAUUC